rnacentral:rRNA from 1 species
GAGCGGAGAUAUAUGGAGCUUGCUUUAUAUAACUUAGCAGCGAACGGGUGAGUAACACGUAGAUAAUCUAUCCUAUACUGGGGGAUAGCCCGAUGAAAGUUGGAUUAAUACCGCAUAUAGCUAUAUAGUUGCAUGAUUAUGUAGUGAAAGAUUUAUUGGUAUAGGAGGAGUCUGCGGCACAUUAGCUAGUAGGUGAGGUAAAGGCUUACCUAGGCGACGAUGUGUAGCCGGUCUGAGAGGAUGAACGGCCACAAUGGAACUGAGACACGGUCCAUACUCCUACGGGAGGCAGCAGUGGGGAAUAUUGCACAAUGGGGGAAACCCUGAUGCAGCAACGCCGCGUGAGUGAAGAAGGUUUUCGGAUUGUAAAGCUCUGUUAGCAGGGAAGAGGAAGGACGGUACCUGCAGAGGAAGCCACGGCUAACUACGUGCCAGCAGCCGCGGUAAUACGUAGGUGGCAAGCGUUGUUCGGAAUAACUGGGCGUAAAGGAUGCGUAGGCGGUUAAACAAGUUAUAUGUUAAAUAUAUAGGCUUAACCUGUAGAAAGCAUAUAAAACUGUUUAACUAGAGUGCAGGAGAGGUAAGUGGAAUUCCUAGUGUAGCGGUGAAAUGCGUAGAGAUUAGGAAGAACACCAGUGGCGAAGGCGACUUACUGGACUGUAACUGACGCUGAGGCAUGAGAGCAUGGGGAGCAAACAGGAUUAGAUACCCUGGUAGUCCAUGCUGUAAACGAUGGGUACUAGGUGUGGGUUGUGAAUAACAAUUCGUGCCGUCGCAAAC